UACGUAGGGUGCGAGCGUUAAUCGGAAUUACUGGGCGUAAAGCGUGCGCAGGCGGUUUUGUAAGCCAGAUGUGAAAUCCCCGGGCUUAACCUGGGAAUGGCAUUUGGGACUGCAAGGCUGGAGUGCGGCAGAGGAGACUGGAAUUCCUGGUGUAGCAGUGAAAUGCGUAGAUAUCAGGAGGAAUACCGGUGGCGAAAGCGACUCUCUGGACGGCAACUGACGCUGAGGCACGAAAGCGUGGGGAGCAAACAGG
rnacentral:rRNA from 1 species